UGGUUGGACAAAGAAGAGACUGUCUCUUGUGUUAUAAUUGAAUUUAACUUUUAAGUGAAAAGGCUUAAAUAUUCUAGAGGGACGAUAAGACCCUAUAAAGCUUUAUAAAUUUGAAGAUUUUGUGUAUUUUUAUAUAAAAAUGAAUUUUGAAGAUUUUAUUUGGUUGGGGCGACAAUGGUAUAAUGAGAAUAACUGCUAUUAAAAUUAACAAUUAUAUUUGAAUUAUUAGUAAUUGAUCCUUUAUAAGGAUUUUAAGAUCAAGUUACUUUAGGGAUAACAGCGUUAUUUUUCUUGAGAGUUCUUAUCAAAGGAAAAGUUUGCGACCUCGAUGUUGAAUUAAAAUGUCUAUAUAGUGCAGCAGCUAUAAAAGAAGGUCUGUUCGACCUUUAAUAUUUUACAUGAUUUGAGUUC
rnacentral:rRNA from 1 species